UCUUAUGAUGAAUAAGAGCUAUUGCUCGAAAUAACCCAGCUCGUCGAAUGUCUCAAAUUAAUUCCAACGGAGGCAUCAUGAGAGAACGUCCUAUCUGAUUUC
rnacentral:snoRNA from 1 species